AUGGCGCGCGUGUACGUCGGGAGCCUGGACCCUGCUGUGACGGCCCGGGAGCUCGAGGACGAGUUCCGCGUGUUCGGGGUUCUCCGGAGUGUAUGGGUUGCAAGGAAGCCACCUGGUUUUGCAUUUGUUGAUUUUGAUGACAGGAGGGAUGCUCAGGAUGCAAUUAAAGAUUUAGAUGGCAAGAAUGGUUGGAGAGUUGAGUUGUCUCGUAAUGCCAGCAGUGGCCGUGGUGGUCGUGAUCGAUCUGGUGGAUCUGAGAUGAAGUGUUAUGAGUGUGGUGAGUCUGGUCACUUUGCCCGUGAAUGCCGUCUGAGGAUUGGUUCUGGGGGCCUAGGCAGUGGAAGGCGUCGCAGCAGGAGUCGAAGCCGUAGCCGCAGUCGGAGCCCUAGAUACCGCAGGAGUCCAAGCUAUAGCAGAAGAAGCUACAGCCGCUCUCCAAGGCGUCGUAGUGUGUCACCGGCUCGUGGGCGCAGUGUGAGCAGGUCACCAGUCCGUGGACGUGAUGAAUCUCCCGCCUAUGGCAAUGGGUAUCGCCGCAGCAGGAGCUAG
rnacentral:rRNA from 1 species